UGGUACUGCCCCGGUGUCAGGAACUGGAGCAGUGACUGGGCUGAGAGCAGGUCUGGGGCUGCCUUGAGCAGGAGGAGGUGGUGUGGCCUCCCCUGAGCCGCAAGGAAAAGCUCGUCAUACAUGAAAAGCUGGGCUUCAGUGGUGUGAGGUGAUUUUCUAUGCCUGAAAUCUGGGACAUCAGCCCUAGAGGAGGAAAUACAAGGCUGCAGCUACUUUUCCUGAGGAGGUCAGUGUGAGCAGUGACAAUUGCACUGGAUCAGACACGAGUGAUGGCUGCGUGAAUCCUGAGGGACCUCGGUGAGAGAGAUGAUAGCAGUGGUCCACAGACCACAGGAAGAUUCAUCAGCCCAGACAGAAGCGAAGUCGAAAUACAGAGAAGUACAUACAAGCAAAAGCUCAAGAGGCAUACAGAGGAGUCAGCUAAAAAUACCAGCUGGUACUGGGUAGUACUGAGAGGAAUGGUCAUUCCAUGGAUUUUGUCUGCCCAACCGGCAUAAUACCUCAGGGUUUUUAUGACUCCCUGGAGAUCGACGUAGAAAGCUUGCAAGAAUGGUUUACCACUGUUCAGGGAUUCCAUAGUCUGGAGGACAAGAAAAAGCAAGAAUUGCCCUGUCUCUCUCAACCAAGUCUGCCAGCUUAUCCAAAAGAUGGCCUCUUUCCGAUGCAUCCAUUCUCCUCCAAACAGAGCCCAGAGAAAAUGCGAGCCGGGCUGCCCUCACUGCUUUGUCUGUAUCAACCUGUGAAGAAGGAAGAAAAAGCUGAAGGCACAGAGGUGGGAAAGUGGAUCCUGGAUAAAAGUCCUGCCCAAGUCAAGACUCAAAGCUGAAGACUCCAAUUAUCUAUAAAUCACUUGAAUUUCCUGCAGAGAAAGAGAAAAAGGAGGAAAGAGCGAGACAGACAGAAAAACAGAGACAGAGGAUGUGCCAAGUGAAACAUUUGAUACCUGUCCUAAACCAAAUUUUUCUCAAAAGCAACCAGGAGUUACCUGAUACCUCAAAACCAAGCUCAGAAGAAACAUGUUGCCAUUCUUUUUGGCUUAAUAUUGAAAUGAAAGAAUUGUCUUUUAAUUGUUCCACGAGUAUAAAAUGUGUAACACUGCA